CCUACGGGUGGCAGCAGUGAGGAAUAUUGGUCAAUGGGCUUACGCCUGAACCAGCCAAGUCGCGUGAGGGAAGACUGCCCUAUGGGUUGUAAACCCCUUUUGUCAGGGAGCAACGCCGGCUACGUGUAGCCGGACUGAGUGUACCUGCAGAAAAAGCAUCGGCAAACUCCGUGCCAGCCGCCGCGGUCAUAGGGAGGAUGCGAGCGUUAUCCGUAUUUAUUGGGUUUAAUGGGUGCGUAGGCGGAAUGCCAAGUCAGCGUGAAAAUCGCGGGGCUCAACCGGGCUCCGCCUUUGAAACUGGCAGUCUUGAGUGGGCGAGAGGUAUGUGGAAGGCGUGGUGUAGCGGUGAAAUGCGUAGAUAUCACGAAGAACUCCGAUGGCGAAGGCAGCAAACCGGCGCCCAACUGACGCUGAGGCACGAAAGCGUGGGUAUCGAACAGGAUUAGAUACCCGGGUAGUC
rnacentral:rRNA from 1 species